CCAGGGGAGACCAGGCCCAGGCAGGAAUAGAAGGAAUAGAGUCGUGAUUGGUGCAGAUGGACGUCUGCUCCUCUGAGAACCUUUGGUUUCCUAAUGACAAUGAGGCUGGGUUGUGUGGGGGUGAGCGUGGGGUUAUGAAGAGGGAAGAGAAAGUAUAAGGUCAACAUCUUGGAAAACAGGAAAAUAAGCUUAUUGGAGAGAUAUACUUGAAUCUCCCAGCUGCAUUGAAUGACCAUUGAAGUUCAUGGUCUUUCUUCCCAAAUGAACCCCAUCAGCGUCCUUGUGGGAUUCUCUCCCACAUCAUUCGGUGGCUCAGGUGCUGGCAAGGUAAGGCUGAUGAUGGAGCCAGACCCAGAAAUGAUUUCCUCAGACAAGGGGAGACAGUAACAGGAAGGCUGAGGAUGUUUGCAGAGUCUUUUGAGAUGGUCAUUCAGUGUAAGCUAAUGAAGGAGGACACUGAGACAAAAUUGGUGAUGAUGUCAAUGGACUAGAGGAUGAGAUGAGGUCUAGGAACCCUUGCAAAGGGAGCCUGGUGGUCCAAGGUGUGUCCAUGGUGAUGGGAGCUAAGGGGGAGGAGCUCAUGUCUGUGAAGGUGAAGACAAAUGGGUCUCAGGUGUGUGAUCAAUACCAGCAUUGCAAUCUCCAGGAGGAAUCCCCAGUGAAUGGGGCAAUGUGGCACAGGACAUUCAGACACUUGAGCCAUAACAGAAUCACUCUAUAAUUUUUUAACAUAUGGCUCAGAGACAACCCACCUCUAUGAAGUAAAUCCCAUACGAGUAUCCAAAGGAACCCAAAAGUAUUUGACUCCCAACUCCACCCUCUUUCCAUUAUACCAAAGGGCUUCUGUAAGUUUUAAUGCAGAAAAUUUAAGAACCAUAUGAUAAAAUUUGCUGUUCAUCUCCAGAACGUCCUCAGAGGAGAUGGUGAUACCCCUUAACCGGCAAGACUAAUCAGAAAUAUCUGGGGAGUUUUUCCUAAAUAUGCAAGCCAUGGCUGAGCCUAUACCCAAUGACUUAGAGUCUCAUGGGGUAGGGCUCAGACCUGUGAAUCCGAUACACAAGGCCAUUCAGAACCAGUGUCCCCGUAUUAUCAGUAUAAAACCUCACUGUCUGUAAAGUGUGAAUCAUUCUGGUGUCCCGAGAAGGAAUAUACCUAGGGAGCAACAUUGUCAACACCCAUUGUGUUUUUCUGCCCAUCCCUAAGGUUCUGGAAGUUUCUGCCUGAGUGUCCUGCACAGCGACUCACCCCACCUGGGUCUGUGCUGAGAGGCAUGUUGUUCUGGUCAGACUCCUGUGCCAUCAGAAGAUGCUUAAUAUUUGCUUAUCUUGCUCAAACAUUUGCUAAAAUAUCAGUUUUUAUCAAUUGAUUUCUAUAUUUUGUUUAUCAGUAACAUCCCAGGCAAAAGUUGUAGUUCAGCUUUUCAUCUCUUGGGGAAAAAAAAGCCUGAGAGAAACUACUAAAAGGAGGAAAGAUGUGUUUUGACUCGUGGUUUCAGAGAUUGUAGUUCAUGGUCAGGUGGCUCCUAAUGGCUCCUAAUUGCUUUGGGCCGGAGACAAGGCAGAAUAUCAAAGUGGAAGGGGCUCAGGGGGGCAGAAAAGCCCACCUCAUGGUGACCAGGAAGCUAAGAGAGCAAGAGGAAGGGGCUGGAACAAGAGAAAGUUCCCCAAGGCCAGCCCCCAAGUACCCAAUCCUUCAAUUAUGUCCCACCCCCUACUGUCUUUGCCAUCUCCCAAUAAUGACAUCACAUUGUGGAUCCAUCAAUGCAUUGAUCCAUUGAUAACAUCACCUUCGUGAUCCAAUCACUUCCCAAAGCCCCACCGCUGAAUGUUGCUGCAUCAGAACCCAGCCUUCCACACAUGAGCCUCUGGGGGACAUUCCAGAUCUGAACCCUAACAAGUUCAUUUAUUGCCAAAUUUAUUACUUCAGGACUGCCAAUAUUAUGGGAGUCUCUCUCUAUUUUCUCUCUCAUCCUCUCCUUCCCUGUCUCUCUCGCUCUGUUUUCUUUCUCUGCUUCUUUCCCUCUCUGUCUCUGUCUUUUCUGUGCAUACACACACACACACACACACACACACAGAUGCUAAAAACAGCUUUCUAGCUUUGUGCAUGGGCCCAAGGUACCCUCUGAGGGAUGACUGAGAGGGACUCUCCACUGGGCAGUACCAAGGCCUUAUGAUCAUUGUUCACUCCUCCAUUACCCCCAACUCCACACCCAACCAGUACAGACAGGAUUAUCUGACCAUGCCACUGUAAUAUUUAUUUCACCUUCAUCUACCUCCAGAAGGUGCUGAAACUGACCCCAGAGAACUAUAUCAGGAUCUUGGGGGUCAGGGGUGAGGAAAUUGCUUAAACCUUCCUUGUUCUCAAAAGUUCUGUUCACACCGUCCAUCUUCCACUAUGUUCUACAUUGUUCCUCUAUGUUAGUUAGGUUUUCAUCACUGUGACCAAAACACCAGACGUGAGCAACUUAGAGGAGGAAAAGGUUCUCCAACUCAAGUGUUCUCUCAAGUCAAGGCAGGGCUUGUUGAAUCAAAUUGGUGUCCGAUGACUUCCUGCAUUUCUUCUGAUUCAAUCCAUCUUGGGUGGGGUCCAAAACUUGGCAUCUCAUUUCCAGACGAUGCAGGUGCUCCUUUUGCAGGGACCAUGCUUUGAGAAUUCUGACCUCAGGACAUCAGCAGACAGCCUGCAGAUUGCCUUCUGAAAGUCAGCACUAAUGUAAAACUCAGCCAUUCCUCUGCCUGGGAAGCUGUCACUCUCUUCAUCCUCAGGCACUGGAAAGUGGCUUCAGGAGCCUCAGCUGUGUGCACAAAGACUGUGUUUGCUCUCUUGGCGUUCACAGGGCCUGGUACAAUGAUUUCAGUGUACUAGAUGCUCAAAAAGAUUGUUGCUUGUGGAAUGAAAAUAAGAUGAAAGGCUAUAUUGCUAUGUUAGAUUGUUUCCAACCAUGUUAAAAUGUGACAAAAAUAUGAAGGAUUUAGGUAAACUGCUCUACUCAGAGAAGGACUCUAUCUAAUGUGGGGAACUCAUUUGUAUUAUACUGUAACUGAUUUUCCUCAGUCACACACUUGAAGGAAAUCUGCCUUUUAAGUCAGUGUCCAGUUUGCUCAAGUCACACUUCGGUCUUCCAGAAGUUAUGACACUACAAAAGGAGCCCUUGCCCAUCAAAUUGUCUCUUAGAGACUUGAGGACCAAAAAAAAAAUAUGGAAAGUGAUAGGAUUUCAUGCAAGGCAUCCCCAGUCCAGGCAAAAACACAUCUUAAGGCUGUAAGAAUGAAAUAGGGCAGAUGUGACACAUCCAGAAACACCUUGGUCACAGGAUCCCUGCUCGAGCUGAUUUCUCCCUCCAGGCAAAUGGCCGGAAGCAAGGCCAAGACAGGGUUGCUUAUGAGUCUCAGCACAGACUGAGCUUGAGGGCACCAGGAAGCCACGGUUCACCUUACUUAGAAAAUAACAGGUGAGAAAUUAAAAUAUUUUCCAAACUAUUUUGAAUAAGAGAAAGAAAACUCUCAUUGAUUUCAAAGCAUGACUCCCCUUUUUUUUCUAAUUUUGAGAGAAAGUGAACACAGCCACAGAGUGAAUAGACUGCUCCCUGCCUCCCCACACAGGCGUGUGUCCAAAUGUUAAUUCGAACUGACAAAACACUCCGGGCACUUUAAUUUUAUUUCAUAACGAAAAAGCAAACUUAACUUCUAAGCGCUUUUAUUCCAAGUUUAAUGGCUUACAUUCCCGAGGUCAGCAAGCAGAUGGAGUCGAAGACGAGAAUAUAUAAUUGCAGAUUAUGAAACUGCAAAAUUAAUACUACUUUGUUAAUGUCAAGAUAGGACUGGAGAGCUGGGAGGGAUUUUCAAGAUUGUUGAUCCUCAACCUCAUCACACAAAUGAGGACACUGAGGCUGGUGACACCGCAUGUCCUUCCUCCUGGUGACAGAGACAGUCGGGGACAGGGCUGCAUCAGAUGCCAUCUUCUGGCAUGUGAAGCAGCCCUCCCACCUCCAUGCACUACCCUGUCAAUUCCUUACCCAAGGCAGGUCCUAUGCGCUCCUCAGUGCUCUACGUCCUAGUGCAGAGGCCGUCAUGCCAUAAGAACCCUCAAGUUCCUUAGCAUCUGGCUCCUCUAUCUGUGGCUCAGCCAUUUGUAGGAGGCUGCCCAAAUCUACAUGGUCAACCAGCAAAUUCCAGCCAGGAGGGAAGGGAAGGGAGAAUGGAAAGGGGAGUGCUGUUUUGAACAACCAAAAAAAUGGAAAGGGGAGUGCAUGCCUUGGCUGUGUGGGCACUCCCUGGAAGUUGUACACGCAUUUCCCUGGACAGCAUGUGCAGACGUCUAGGACAUAGCCUUCUAUACCUUAGGAAAAACAAAAGUCAUUGUGAUUUUGGCUUCAGUUGACUCUCUUGCCAUCCAAAUAUCUAUGCCUACCCUUCUUAUCACAUGAAGUAUGCAUCCAUCUCUACCCUCGGGAGAUGAUCCCCAAGACCCAUAUGGCUACUUCAUGAUGUCACAUGAAACACACUCUUACACUCUUCUCUGCAAGACCCAGUCUUGCUCCUCUCCAUCCAGCAAAUAUAAAACUGAAAGAAAAAUUUUCAGUCCAGCCAUCAGAGUCAACAUUCAAUGGGGGAUAGGACUAGAAGCUUCAGUAAAAAGCAGACAAGCCAGCUCUCUCAGUGGAAGACAAACGGCAGUGGCAGGUCCUUGCUAGAGAAGGACCCAGAAGUAGAAUAAGCCUCUUGGUGACUCUGUCUGGUGGCCCCAGCAGAGUUCUCUGGAAGAUCCUUGUUCACUGACCUCCACGGCCUCCAACUUUGUCCACCAGCCUUUGAGGUCCAGCUGAGGACAAAUGGCCUCUGCCACUCACCUCACUGUAGGGGUCCCCAGUCACAUGCUUCUCCACAUGGCUUCCCGGGCAACAUGAUUUCCUCAAAAACUUAGCAGACACUUGAUCAUUUAAACUGAAAAAUUCUGAAAAAAUGCAGCAUUUUAAUUUGCUGUCUUCUGUCCUCUGUCAAAAUUCCUCUUACGUUCAUGGCAACUCUUUUGACAGCAUUCCCAAUUUUCUGCUCAUGUCCACUAAUGUUGCUCAGGGCAGGUCCUACCUCCCAAGAUACUGCCAGUGACAAGGUCAUCAAACACUUUGUCACUGUAUAACGAGGGUCAACACUUCUUACCCACCAGAAUCUGUGUCUUUGCCACCCACUGUCCAAGUGCUUUGUCUCAGCCAGCAACAUCAAUCUGCCCAGCUGGAUUGUUGCAAACACAACUUGCAUCGUUCCCCUCCCAGGUGCCCGACUUGGCUGCGUACAUUCAGCUGUGCAUGACAGUGAUCCAAAUUCACAGUGGCCUAAGCACAAAGGGAGUCCACUUAUUUCUCACAUGAACAACUGACUGUGACUGUGCUCCCCAAUGUCAUCAGGCACCUGUCCCCUGCCCCCCACUGCUGCUUUGCCAUGUCUUGCUGAUUUUCUGGUCUUUGUUGUUCAGUGUUUCUCACCACCAGAUCUGCUUUCCAACCAGCAGAAAGACAGACAGAGCCCUGGACCUCCCUUACCUGUGAAGGCCCAACUUGGAGGUUUCACACUCUUCUUCUGUCCAAUCCCAUAACUCAGAAUUUAACUCAGAAAUAAACUGAUUUUUCUGAAUGGUAUCAUGCCCAUAUAAGGGUUUUUAUUGCACUUGUGAAGAAGUUGAUACUGUGGAAGAAGAGUGAUCUUUGAAGCACUAUGGAAUUAACUGUGUCCUUUUUGUUGUUGUUGUCCAAUAUAAAAAUCUAGAAAACUAUCUUUAAUGAGUUUUUUAGGUACAAUUGCAGUAUGGCUGAACUGUUUGCCUCUGAUCUUAUCAGUGACACUGCCCAGAAGAAAUGCAUAGGAAAUUCCUCAUCCGAAGCUUUAGGGCAACCUGAACCUUGGCUGUGGGGGAUCUUCCCUCAGCUCCCAAACAAGGGCCCCCACCCUGGAUUGGGCCAGAGCAACACUUCCUCAGGCCCAAGUGUAUUAAUUUGGUAAGCCAGUCUACAGUACCCGCUCAGUUUCUCUUUCAUGCAGAUCCCAGUAAUGAUUUACACCCUCAUCUACACUGAGUUCCUUGUGACAGGAGAGGGACCCAAAGCAUGGACUGAGUGAAGCCAGAAAGAGGCCUGCAUUUGUGCUCUCAUGUUUUAGGCAUGAGGCCAGAAGGUAUGCAUAGGAAAUGAGAGAGGUAUGCAUCUCAUCUUCAUGAGAUUCGCAAGCACUAAGAGAGCGGGUCUACGCCCAGGGAAUCGGGGUGCACAAUUACAGAAAAUAGCUCAUCCCUUUUCUAGAAGGCUAGAAAAAUCUUAUGCUGAUAGAUGUGCAUUGUGUUUAUGGGAUGGGCUCUGGUUUUCCUGCCCACCUGAAGACCACUCUCUGUUGACUCAGUACCCCUGGUCCCCAGUGGCAGCAGUGUGACUGCUUGGUGUUGUUUGCUAACAGCAGACACAGACGAGUAGGAACCAGAACAAGACAGGCAGAGGAGACCAGGCAGGAGAGGCAGGGCAGCCCGCUAACUGGGCUGGUUGGCAUGUGCAAG
rnacentral:lncRNA from 1 species